GGCUGGUACGAUGGUAGUGGGUUAUCAGAACUUAUUAACAUUAGUGUCACUAAAGUUGGUAUUUAACCACCACUGCUAAAUUUGACUGGCUGAAA
rnacentral:Y_RNA from 1 species